UACGUAGGUGGCGAGCGUUGUCCGGAUUUACUGGGUGUAAAGGGCGUGUAGGCGGGUGAGUAAGUCAGAUGUGAAAUACCGCAGCUUAACUGCGGGGCUGCAUUUGAAACUAUUCAUCUUGAGUGCUGGAGAGGAAAGCGGAAUUCCUAGUGUAGCGGUGAAAUGCGUAGAUAUUAGGAGGAACACCAGUGGCGAAGGCGGCUUUCUGGACAGUAACUGACGCUGAGGCGCGAAAGCGUGGGGAG
rnacentral:rRNA from 1 species